GGCCCGACAUUAUCCGACACUUGC
rnacentral:siRNA from 1 species